rnacentral:rRNA from 1 species
AAUAACAAUACAAGGCAGUUAAAAUGCUUUGUAAUUGGAAUGAUAGAAAUUUAAACACUUUUUAAAGUAUCAAUUGGAGGGCAAGUCUGGUGCCAGCAGCCGCGGUAAUUCCAGCUCCAAUAGCGUAUAUUAAAAUUGUUGCAGUUAAAAAGCUCGUAGUUGAAUUUCUGUUAAAAAUAACCGGUCUGCUUUUAAUAAAAGUGGUAUCUUGGUGUGUUUUUAGCAAUAAUGUCCUUUGAAAUGUUUUUUACUUUAUUGUAAUAAAUAAUAUUCAGGAUUUUUACUUUGAGAAAAUUAGAGUGUUUCUAGCAGGCUAACGCUUUGAAUACUGCAGCAUGGAAUAAUAAGAUAGGAUUUUAGUUCUACAUUAUUGGUUUUAAGAACUAAAUUAAUGAUUGAUAGGGACAGUUGGGGGCAUUUGUAUUUAACUGUCAGAGGUGAAAUUCUUAGAUUUGUUAAAGACAAACUACUGCGAAAGCAUUUGCCAAAGAUGUUUUCAUAAAUCAGGAAC